rnacentral:rRNA from 1 species
UACGGAAGGCAGCAGUGGGGAAUAUUGCACAAUGGGCGCAAGCCUGAUGCAGCCAUGCCGCGUGUAUGAAAAAGGCCUUCGGGUUGUAAAGUACUUUCAGUCGUGAGGAAGGUGUUAAGGUUAAUAACCUUAGCAAUUGACGUUAGCGACAGAAGAAGCACCGGCUAACUCCGUGCCAGCAGCCGCGGUAAUACGGAGGGUGCGAGCGUUAAUCGGAAUUACUGGGCGUAAAGGGCACGCAGGCGGUUAAUUAAGUUGGAUGUGAAAAUCCCCGGGCUUAAACCUGGGAAUGGCAUUCAAGACUGGUUAGCUAGAGUCUUGUAGAGGGGGUAGAAUUCCAUGUGUAGCGGUGAAAUGCGUAGAGAUGUGGAGGAAUACCGGUGGCGAAAGGCGGCCCCUGGACAAAGACUGACGCUCAUGUGCGAAAGCGUGGGGAGCAAAACAGGGAUUAGAUACC